UUAAAAAAAGUCGUUUAAUUUGCUGACUAUCGAAUCAGCCCUAUAAGUAUGCUAAACCGAAAUUGCUUUAAAUUUACUCACAUGCAAACCAUUCACAAUUAUUUGACUAUUAGUUUGGCUGCCACUGUAUAUAAAAUGACAUUUGCUUUGACGUUUAUUUAAAUGACAGCUAACGAGAUUCACGCGCUUUUUUAUUUUUAUAAUUUUUUUUGUGUUUGAAUGCGAGGGUUAUUUAAAACAAAUAUGAACAACUUUUGCUGACCAAUGGCGGCUUUCGUGAAUUGCAGUAUUUAAUUUAAUUGUAAAUGUAAAGCAAACUGUAAUUUCCGUGUGAAAAUUGCGAUGCACACUUCAAUAUACACAACCUGCUUUAUCUAAUCUAGCCAAACAUACAUUUUAUCAUAUUUUCAUAUACGGAUCCACCUGCAAACCCAGACUUGGGUAACGGGUUUGCGACAAAUUGCUAACCAGCCAGGGGCGGUCGUUACGAGUACAACGCGAAAUAGUUCAGCAAACAUAAAAUUCAUAUACAUACAUACAUAUACAUAUAUAUUUUUAAAUGCAUGCAUUAACUUUAGUUCUUAUUCACCUAAGGCAGCUUUAAUAAUUUUAUUAUACAAUUGGAUGAAUUUAAUUCUAGUUAAAUAGUAAUAUUUUAUGUUUUUAAUAUGGUUAUUAUUUUCUUUUAUGAACUAUUAAACAAAUUAAGAAUUCUGCUCUA
rnacentral:lncRNA from 1 species